rnacentral:tRNA from 2 species
UAGGAUGUCGUCUAAAGGAAAGACUUCCUCUUUUGGUGGGGAAAAUAGUUGUUCGAUUCAACUCAUCCUAG